CUCAUUUUUCUACUGCUCGUGGUAAGUGGCUUCGUGGUCUUUAUAGCUGUUACUCUUUUGUACUUUGUCUUUUUCUUUUAUUUUCUUUUGAGCGAUUGUGCGAACAUAGCAUAGCACGCACUAUGCCUUCUGUGUUGUAGCUGCCUGGCCAGGGCGACUGGCGGAUAAGGUCUUGUGCGUGGCCUCGAGGCUUAAAAGUAGCAGUGGGGCUUUGUGAAGGACAAAAUGGCGAUGGCGGGCCGUGUAGGUCCCCCUUCCUAUGAUGAGGACCUUUUCACAGACCUGUACUGAGCUCCGUGAGGAUAAAUAACUCUGAGGAGAUGGGCCCUGCAAGCCUCUUGCUUAGCCGUCUGUUCAGAAAAUAGCGUUUUCGAAAUGCCCUGAGUUGACCUAAUGUCUUAUUGGGCUCCUGUCUGCAGGAUUUACGCGCACGUUGGAACCGAAGAGAGCUCUGUUGUUGCAAUGUUCAGCCCACAAGAGCUUACUGGUGAAGGAAUGGGACAAGACCCAUCUUUAUGCAAAGCCAGCGUUACAGUAAUGUUCCAGCAUCUCAUAAUCUAUCCUGGGGAAUUCAGCUGCCUCCCAGGGUGAAUACAGGUAUUCCUGAUGACAGUCUGCCUCUAUCUUACAGUAAGUUGUUUUUCGAAUUCUAUGGGCCUAUUAUCUAAUAGAUAACUUAGCCAUUUUGAUAUUUGUUACCAAAGCCUGCUUAACCCAUAAAGUUUUCUGGUUCCUCUUGUUCUCUGUAGUGAUGUUUCUAGAUAGAUGCCCACUGAUAUAUGCCCCUUUUUUCUCAGAUAGAUGCCCACUGAUCUGCCCAGGGUCAGACGAAUGCUUGUCAGUUGUAGCUUUCCAGGAUUCUGCUCCAAUGAGGAGGAAACAUCCUGCCUUACCCCUGUUUUAGCCUGGGAACCAGUAAUUGUGAACUCACCAGGGUUAACAUGAAGAGGGCAUGAGAGCUUAUUCCAUAAGGAAUUGUCUGAGACAUUUGGUUACCUUUUCUUAGUUUGUCCAUUAGCAACCGUAACUAAAAUAGUUUUGGCUGUUUGGGAUAAUUAGCUAAUUGAAUGAUUUUUUGAUUCAGGAGCAGCUUGUUGCUAUAUACCAUUGAAAAGCCUUCAGAGCUGAGAGGUUAGUUGAUAUUUUUUGUUCCUUACAGCUUAUGCCACCAAGUAGGCAGUUUCUAUGAUGAAUCAAACUAGCUCACUAUGACCGACAGUGAAAAUACAUGAACACCUGAGAAACUGGAGAACGCAGGGAGUGGGGGGUAACCAUGUCUGAGGAAUCUUUCACCCACAGCUUUGUUUUUCUCUAGGUACUACUAACCAAUAACCUGCUUGGCUCAAAGGGCCAGCACCUUCUCUCUAAAGCCCAAGAGGAGUUUGAGGAAAACUAGGUGUCUGUGUUCACUCCAGGCUGAAGUUACAGGUCUGAGCAAAUAAGGUGUAUAAAAAAUGGAAUCUGUCUUGGAGGACAUCAGAAGGUGAAUUUUCCAAGUUCUUGGACAACCUAGCUGUUGAAAAGCUUUCUGGGUUUGGGGGGUAUUUCAGAUGUACCUUAAAGUGUUAGCAGACACAGAUUAAGACACUGGGAGCCAAUGAAACAGCAGUUGAGGGUUUGCUGUGUAUCACAUUUCUGUAUUUUAUCACCCCCUUCCUGCAACAUUAUUUAUCUGGAAUCUACCUGCCCUUUUGUUUUUUAGAUACAAGGGCUUGGUUUUGUUACCCAGGCUGGUUUCAAGGCCAUAGCUUUAAGAGAUCCUCUCACCACAGAUUUCCAAAGUGCUGGGAUUGCAGGUGUGAUUCAUGGCACCCAGACUUUGCUGCCUUUCUUACAUGAUCCAGGCCCAGAACCCAAACUCAGGCACUGUAUAGAUGACCACUUUCGUAAACUACUGACCUAGCUUGUUGCCAAUUGUUGAUUGAACUUCCCAUAACUCCACUUCGUGUCUGUUCCUCUGUAUACAGCCACCUUCUGUUCCCGUCAUGAGCCUUUAGGUCUCCAUUUGCAUAUUGCAAAUACUAUGUUCCAUGUAGGUAGCUCAUUCAGGGCCUUGCUCUUCACUUCAAAAAAGGUUCCCUUGAGGACUGGCUGUCAAUUUGUGUUGCUGUGUUGGUUGUUGAUGAAAAUAAUAAAAUGAUUGAUUACAUA
rnacentral:lncRNA from 1 species